rnacentral:lncRNA from 1 species
UAGGAAUCACUCUAUAAGAAGCCGAGCAACCAAAUAUGUGCGUCUAAGAUGAUUUCUAAAAGCUAAAUAGGAUUUAAGCUUCAAAAUCGCAACGCAAUGGAAAGAAAAGAAAAAUGCAACAUCACCACACACAUACAAUUCAUUUAUAAAUCAAAGCUUAAAAAAAUCGAAAUAAAAAAAUUGGCAACACAACCACAAACUAUUUACAAAAUUUAACGAAAUUAUCUACAACAUGAUCUGAACAUGGAUAUAGAUUACUUAAUUAAAAUGACUAAACAUAUAAAAAAAUCAAAUAUCUACUAAAAAACAGUUAAAUAAUUAACCAACUAAUUAAACAAAAAAAUCAAUUAAAUAAAUAAUUAAUAAUUAGAAAUUAUCACUAAAAAAACUAAAUAAAACUAGGGAGUACAUACAUAUAUUGAGGUUCUAUUGAAUAUGAGCAAAAUGGGCCUAAAGCCCAAAACCAAACCCUAAUGACAAAUGAAAACAAACGAAAAAUAACAACAUAAAUAAAUAAAUAAUAAAAUCAAAAAAUUCUCGUGAGAGAGGUGGCAGCACCCAUGUGGUAAUACAUCAUCUUGUCUAAAAAUUAGAAUUAUCCACUAAACAACUUACACUUGGCAUGGCCUUUUUUAAAAAAAUAAAACAAAGAAAAUGAGUGAUACUGUAUGACAACCUUUCUUGAUUCACUCUCUUGCAUCAUUUUUUUAAAAAUAAAAAAAAACACUCACCUAUACAUCAACAUGUGGCAUAAAGAUAAUGAUAAAUAAAAGAAGACCUCCAAC